GCUGGGUGUGGUGGUGAGCACCUGUAAUCCCAGCUACUUGGGAGGCUGAGGCAGAAGAAUCGCUUGAACCCGGGAGGCAGAGGUUGCAGUGAGCCGAGAUGGCGCCACUGCAUUCCAGCCUGGGUAACAGAGCAAGACUCUGUCUCAA
ensembl:misc_RNA Metazoa_SRP Metazoan signal recognition particle RNA